ACUCCUACGGGAGGCAGCAGUGGGGAAUAUUGCACAAUGGGGGAAACCCUGAUGCAGCCAUGCCGCGUGUGUGAAGAAGGCCUUCGGGUUGUAAAGCACUUUCAGUAGGGAGGAAGGUAGUGUAGUUAACACCUGCAUUAUUUGUACGUUACCUACAGAAGAAGCACCGGCUAACUCCGUGCCAGCAGCCGCGGUAAUACGGAGGGUGCGAGCGUUAAUCGGAAUUACUGGGCGUAAAGCGCAUGCAGGCGGCCUGUUAAGUCAGAUGUGAAACGCCCGGGGUCUUAACCGUCGGAAUUGCAUUUGAAACUGGCAGGCUAGAGUCUGUAGAGGGGUUAGAAUUUCGAGUGUAG
rnacentral:rRNA from 1 species